UACGACCAAAUCACGCUGAAAUACCUAUUUUCGUACGAUCACCGAAGUUAAGCAACGGCGAGCUUUUUCAGUACUUAGAUGGGUGACCGCUCGUGAAUACCAUUUGCUGUAAG